rnacentral:rRNA from 1 species
GACGAACGCUGGCGGCGUGCUUAACACAUGCAAGUCGAACGGAAAGGCCCUGCUUUUGUGGGGUGCUCGAGUGGCGAACGGGUGAGUAACACGUGAGUAACCUGCCCUUGACUUUGGGAUAACUUCAGGAAACUGGGGCUAAUACCGGAUAGGAGCUCCUGCUGCAUGGCGGGGGUUGGAAAGUUUCGGCGGUUGGGGAUGGACUCGCGGCUUAUCAGCUUGUUGGUGGGGUAGUGGCUUACCAAGGCUUUGACGGGUAGCCGGCCUGAGAGGGUGACCGGCCACAUUGGGACUGAGAUACGGCCCAGACUCCUACGGGAGGCAGCAGUGGGGAAUAUUGCACGAUGGGCGGAAGCCUGAUGCAGCAACGCCGCGUGCGGGAUGACUGCCUUCGGGUUGUAAACCGCUUUCGCCUGUGACGAAGCGUGAGUGACGGUAAUGGGUAAAGAAGCACCGGCUAACUACGUG